GACGAACGCUGGCGGCGUGCCUAAUACAUGCAAGUCGAACGCAGUGGGGACGGGUGAGUAACACGUGGGUAACCUCCCAUCAGAGGGCAUCACACUUGGAAACAGGUGCUAAACCGCUACUGGUGGAUGGACCCGCUGUGCAUUAGCUAGUUGGUGAGGUAACGGCUCAACAAGGCCAAGAUGCAUAGCCGACCUGAGAGGGUGAUCGGCCACACUGGGACGGAGACAAGGCCCAGACUCCUACGGGAGGCAGCAGUAGGGAAUCUUCGGCAAUGGACGAAAGUCUGACCGAGCAACGCCGCGUGAGUGAAGAAGGUUUUCGGAUCGUAAAACUCUGUUGUUAGAGAAGCGGUAUCUAACCAGAAAGCCACGGCUAACUACGUGCCAGCAGCCGCGGUAAUUC
rnacentral:rRNA from 1 species